GAUGAACGCUGGCGGCGUGCCUAACACAUGCAAGUCGAGCGAACGGACGAGAAGCUUGCUUCUCUGAUGUUAGCGGCGGACGGGUGAGUAACACGUGGAUAACCUACCUAUAAGACUGGGAUAACUUCGGGAAACCGGAGAUACUACCGGAUAAUAUUUUGAACCGCAUGGUUCAAAAGUGAAAGACGGCCUUGCUGUCACAUAUAGAUGGAUCCGCGCUGCAUUAGCUAGUUGGUAAGGUAACGGCAUACCAAGGCAACGAUGCAUAGCCGACCUGAGAGGGUGAUCGGCCACACUGGAACUGAGACACGGUCCAGACUCCUACGGGAGGCAGCAGUAGGGAAUCUUGCGCAAUGGGCGAAAGCCUGACGGAGCAACGCCGCGUGAGUGAUGAAGGUCUUCGGAUCGUAAAACUCUGUUAUUAGGGAAGAACAGAUGUGUAAGUAACUGUGCACAUCUUGACGGUACCUAAUCAGAAAGCAACGGCUAACUACGUG
rnacentral:rRNA from 1 species